GUUACCUGAGUCUGCUCGUGGCGUUUUAUUAUACCUCACCAACGAGCGCUUCCACAAACUUGACAAAAGAGCAAUGUCAGUGUCUGACGGACAUGCAACCUGACGCGGAUAACAUACCCAGGGCUCAAAUGGAUAAUUUUACGAAGAAACUCAAGAUGGAUAUAUGUGACAACGGACCUGUUGUCCAUGAUGCCUGCAUUUUUCAUCACAUUGGGGAAAGGGAUGUAGGCCCAUGGCCUCAACAUUCUACAGAGCAGAAGGAGCUGAAUAGAGUACUUAUGCAUCUCCAGACGAUAAAGGAGAGCAAAGAGACAUGCAAGGGAAUCACAGUCAAGAAUCACAAGGCAAAGCAAAGUGAAAGCAAACACAGAAUCCGGCGCCGAGUCAAACGAUUUGUUG